CAGUGGAAUCCGGUUGACCAAUGGCAUAGCCCACUCUACAUAGGACAGCAUGGACACUAAGCCUUUGACUUAAAGGGCGUGGUGACGGAGACACGAAUUUUAGUUUUCUAUAGUUGUAUAAGCAGUACAUGUCUGAGGAGGAAAACUCUCCCACGUGUUGUUCUGCCUGCAAGUUGUUCAUGGAGCCCCGGGGCAUGUCACUUCAGUCUGUCAUUGGUUCCAUAUCUGGGGCAGGGCCAAGGGAGGCGCCUGGAGACCCGAGAUCUGGAUCGGCCAGCGCGCUCGGUGGAGGUGGGCCAAGCAGAGCUCCAGAGAACACCGCUGGACUGUGAUACACCUUCCCCAGACCCCGUGACCUACCUAUCCCUUAAUUUGUAAGUUACGCCAUUAAAUAAAUCUCCUUUUAACUACA